ensembl:lncRNA
UUUAGGUACGCUGGAUCAAAUGGAAAAAGAUGUGUCCUUCAACAACACAGUGGGACCUUCCAGCCUGCACUGCCCAAGGCCACCACUUCCCCAAGCUGCAUGACUUAAAGAUGGAUGAUGCCACAUUUCCUUCCACGUUCCCAAGCAUUUCUCCCUGGCUGUUGUGGAUCCAUGUCUCUAUCCCCUAAUUUCAAAGUCAGAGCAACCCAACAGCACUGGCACUGCGGAUAGGUGCUGAUGGGAAGGAGCAUUUCCAAGCAAGCCCUGCUCUACUAGGGAGCAAAAGGCCCCAUUACAUCAGCUCAUCUCCCUCCUCCCAUUGCAGGCUCUAAGACAUCACCUAGCAAUGCCACGGCUGAGCCCAGAGAGGGGAAGGUGGCAUCAAAAAGCAUCUCAGCCCUGCGAGAUUUGGGCUGCUUUCUGCUCCAAGGCAAGUGAGAUGGGAGCAACCCAGUGAUGGCGGGGGGCUCAUUUGGUGGAAGAUCCACAGAUGAUGUGAGCCUCAUUCCAACCAGGCUGGAGGAUCCUCAAGGCAGCCACCGACUUGAUCGUUAUAUAAAUACUUUUUUCACUACAAAAGCCGUGGGCUGGAGCUGCCCUGGCAAAUGACACUGAACUCAUGGUAUGAGUCAGGAGAGAGGCUUGCUGCUGAUUUCAGCAGCAGGGGGGAAGGACCGGUGCUAAGGCAGAGCUGAGGACUUGGGGCUUUGUCUUUCAGUGCCAGGGUGCAGCCACCAAGCAAGCCAUGAAAGCAUCUUCCAGGUAUCAUGGGGCUGCAAUUGGAGGCACAGUCCAGCUUCGCAGGCCAUGUCCCAGAGCCCUGCUUCCCACUCAUCCCUGGAGCUCAGGUCAGCUCCCACAAGCUCAAGUGGUGAAGAAAAACAUGCAGGCAGCUGGUGCAAACAGCACCUUAUCUCCCGAGUGCUUCCCGCUCACUAAGGGACUUCUCCUGUGCUAGACUGGGCUUUAUGCUUUUAGGCUUCAGUUCAAAGCUCAAACUAGCUUACUGCAAGACACAAAUGAGUUCCAGAGCUUGCUACAAGCACGCCGCUAUUCACAGCAAGCAUCAGGCCGCCCUCCCGCCUCAAGAAGCUUGAGACCAACAGGUCCUUGUCCACACCAGUGCCGACACUGGGUCUUCGAGGCAGUGCUGCAGCACAGCGGUGGCUGUUGCCAUGCCAAACAAGCGGGCAGUUGGCACACUGAGGUGCCAAACUGGGACAGCAGCCACGCUACCGGAGAUGGACCCAUGUUGGGGCUGCUGUCCCCUACGGGCUCCUGCAGGAGCAUUGCACAGCCCGAGUAGCUCAGCUGCUCUCAGCUGAUGCCCUCACCAAGCACCAGGCCCUCCUUGAUGCUUGCAGCUCCCCGAGCCCGCUCCACACCACAGCCCUGCACCAACAAAAGAUGGGGUUUUUUGGUUGCUCCGGUGAGGUAUGAACUCCCUGCUGCAGGAUGACAUGGGUACCAGCAGCUCACGCAGGGGCAUGGAUGAGUAUGGAGGAUGUAUGCAGGACACAGGGAAGCACCCUGCCCAGGUCUCUGCCCAGAACAGAGGCAAUGCCAGCCCUGUCCUGCCCUGAGCACCUCCAUCCAGAGAUGGGCACAGGCUCGGCCUCCCUUGGGCCUGACACAGAACCGCUCUUGCCCUCAAGGCAGUCUCAUGCCAGGCGAGCCUCUCACACACAACCCAGCCUGCCCUGGUGCAAACCAGCUUUUCUCUCCUUCACCCUUCCCUUGUAGACAGGGGGAAACUGAGGCACAGGAAGGUGGAAGGCGGCACACUGAUUGUCAUGACAGAAGAGAAAGAUGUGAAUGAUUUCAAAUAGCUUUUCCCCCAAAGCAAGCCACAUCUCUCUACCAGUCCUAUUGCUGACAAGGAGCAAAACUCAUCCCAUCCAAUUACUUUGGAACAAAGAAAUGAGGAAAAAACCCAAACAAGCCCCAGGGCAGGAGCCAAGUGUGUUUGUUCUUUCAGCUCAAUCAGCCACGAUCCAUGAUGGCAACUGCCACAAACCCGGGCUAACAGAGAAUGUCACCACCAAGGAGCAUGCCAAGGUGACCUGGGGGGCAGCGGCAGAACUCCCUGCCCUCUCUACACAGCCUUACCCUGCCCAGGGGCCCCGGGAUGGGGAAAGCCAUCUCAGGUGAGAACAGAGCUCAGCAGCACUGAUGUGGUCCAGACCAUGGGGACCCCUCGGACCAGAUUCCUCCUCGGGCGCACCACGGUGCACACCUCCCGCAGAAACAGCGUCCAGGCUAUGACAGGGCGAUGGGGCAGCGGGAUGGCCGGGAAAGGGGAUACCCCAUCACCACCCUGGCACCUGCACAAGGCCACACGCACAUCUCCAGCUGUCCCUGCAGCCGGGGCUCUCCCAGGAGGACAAAGCAAAGCGCAGCGCCAGCACCUCCACACCGCCAGUGGCUUCCGUGCUCCCCGAGCUCGGGGAAGCUGGGCAUCCCUCCCCACACACCAUGGGAAACACAGAGCCGCGGGGAAUCGGGAUGUUAGCAAGCGCUGGGGAGAAGACGGCGGCCUCCUGCCUCCUCGCCAUCACCCUGCUCCAGCGAGCACAUCCCCGGCGGGGAACCAGCGAACUCCCGCAAACUGGCAGCACCCCCGACGUAGCGCUAGACCGACGGCUCUGCCCGCAGCCGCGCCCCGCAGCACCCCAGCACCCCCCGGCACCCGGCUCACCUGCUCUCCGCCGCCGCUCCCCGGUACCCCGCGGAGCCUCAGGCGGGCGGUGCGGCGGGCGGCGCGGCGCGGCGGGCGGGCAGGGCAGGGCACCCGCAGCCCCC